rnacentral:lncRNA from 1 species
AAAGCCUGAGUGUCAAUGACCUGUUCAGGUGCAGAGCAAGCAGGCCUGCACCGUGGGGAAUCAUGUGGUGCAGACCUGGGGUCAGAACACAGGGUGGACUUCGGGGAAGGUAAAACUCGGGGCUGACGUGGGCGCCGCGCGGGGAAUGGUGGGGAAGUCUGCAGUGCAGCAGCUGGACCCGCCUCCCUACCGCCCUGGAUCCUCCCAGGUCAGAGAAGCUGAGGGGCUGGGAAAGGGGAGGGAGGGGACCAGGCUGUGAUCAGUUUCUCUGCUGUUCCUAAGGAAGCAAGCUCUGAAGUUUUGCUGUGGGUUUCUUCCCUUGUCAACACAAUUUUAGGUCAUAUGAACUGAAGUAAUCCUGAUUUGUUUUUUAUUGUUCACCUGAUUGCCAAAAUAUUCAUAGUAGAGUGGUCUAGGAGAAUAUUUGAAUUUAUCUUUUGAUGCUUGCAAAACAGUUCUCUUUAUUUAGGUGAAAAGGACAAAGCUCUUGGAAUUUACAUUCAUCCAUGCUAACUCCCUUGUUAUACCCGUGAACAUACUUGGUGACUUGGCAUCUGCUGAGAGCUUUUAGACAGCAGUCAUGAAAGGAGUGGCUGCAAAUGUAAUUGAAUCCAAAAGCAUAUUUUUUUGCGAGUUUCAUAGAUAUGGUUUUAACCAUUAACAUUUAAAAGUAAACUCUAUACCCACCAUUACCUUUCCUUCGGAGACAUGCACUCCCUGAUGUAAAUGCAAUAUUCUGCUAUAAAUGCACCAGGCUUGUUGGCAUGCAUCUUUAAUCCCAGCAUGGGGGAGGGAGGACAGAGGCAGGCAGAUCAAAGAGUUGGAGACCAGCCUGGUCUGCUUGGUGAGGUCAGGAUAGCCAGAGCUACAUGAUGAGCUCCUGUCUCAAC